GAUGAACGCUAGCUACAGGCUUAACACAUGCAAGUCGAGGGGUCUCGCGGGAGCUUGCUUCCAAGAGACGACCGGCGCACGGGUGAGUAACGCGUAUCCAACCUGCCCUUCAUAUUGGGAUAGCCUUCCGAAAGGAAGAUUAAUACCGAAUACCAUGAGAAAGUUGCCUGCUUCUCUCAUGAAAGCUUCGGCGAUGAAGGAUGGGGAUGCGUUCCAUUAGGUAGGAGGCAGGGUAACGGCCCACCUAGCCUACGAUGGAAAGGGGUUCUGAGAGGAAGGUCCCCCACACUGGAACUGAGACACGGUCCAGACUCCUACGGGAGGCAGCAGUGAGGAAUAUUGGUCAAUGGGCGCAAGCCUGAACCAGCCAAGUAGUGUGAAGGAUGACUGCCCUAUGGGUUGUAAACUUCUUUUAUACGUGAACAAACCUUGGUACGCGUACCAAAUUGCGUGUACCGUAUGAAUAAGCAUCGGCUAACUCCGUGCCAGCCGCCGCCGUAAUAC
rnacentral:rRNA from 1 species